rnacentral:rRNA from 1 species
ACUCAAAUGAAUUGACGGGGGCCCGCACAAGCGGUGGAGCGUGUGGUUUAAUUCGAUGGUAAGCGAGGAACCUUACCAGGGCUUGAAAUCUGGCUGCACACCGGUGGAAACACCGGAGCCUUCGAGGGUGCCAGACAGGUGCUGCAUGGUUGUCGUCAGCUCGUGUUGUGAAAUGUUCCCUUCAGUGGGGUAACGAGCGCAACCCUUGUCGUGUGUUACUUUUCACACGAGACUGCCGUGGUUAACACGGAGGAAGGCGGGGAUGACGUCAAAUCAGCAUGGUCCUCCGACGCCCUGGGCGACACACGCGCUACAAUGGUUGGGACAACGAGUUUUUACGCCACUGCGUAAGCAGGAGCUAAUCUUUCAAACCCAACCCCAGUUCGGAUUGAGGGCUGCAACUCGCCCUCAUGAAGUUGGAAUCGCUAGUAACCGCGGAUCAGCCACGCCGCGGUGAAUACGUUCUCGGGCUUUGCACACACCGCCCGU